AGAACUGCAGCCAGAUCUGGGCCGAGGCUCUGAGUGACUUUACUCACUGUGAAGAGCUGCCAAAGGAGGCCAAGGGAAGGAAGGACACAGAGAAGGAACAGGUGCCAGAGCCGGAGGGGCAGCUGGAGGAGCCAACACUGGAGGUGGUGGAACAAGCAUCUCCCUACUCCAUGGAUGACAGGGACCCUCGGAAGUUCUUCAUGUCAGGUGAGAGCUGGGGGGUCAGGAUCAGAGGCGUGGGGAGGCCCCAGGAUGCCUUGGCUCAGUGUCCCCAUCCCCAGGCUUCACCGGCUAUGUGCCCCGCGCCCGCUUCCUCUUCGGCUCCAGCUUUCCUGUGCUCACCAACCAGGCACUGCAGGAAUUUGGGCAGAAGCACUCACCAGGCAGUGCCCAGGACCCCAAACAUCUCCCCCCGCUUCCCAGAACAUACCCUCAGAACCUGGGUCUUUUACCUAACUAUGGGGGCUACGUGCCAGGGUAUAAGUUCCAGUUUGGCCACACAUUUGGCCAUCUCACCCAUGAUGCUCUGGGCCUCAGCACCUUCCAGAAGCAGCUCUUGGCUUAGGCCCCUGGACAUCAAGUUCCCUUCCCUUUUCAUCCUAUCCCAGCCAUCCUUUUGGAAGGGAGAAAGGUGGGUGGGGGAGCACAAAGAGGAAAUGGUCUGGAGGCUGAGCACCUUUUUUAUUAAUAGGUAUAAUAAAUAAAUAAAUAAAUACAUAAA
rnacentral:sRNA from 1 species